UUCACAGCCUCUACAAUACACAAUCCCAGCCUCAUUCACGACUAUAAUUAAACGACCAACCAAUUCUAUGGAGAAAAGGGAUGAAGGAUAAAAUGAUGACAUUAAAGAGGCGAGAGUGUGUUUACCUCUUGAGGAGCAGCAAAACAAAAUUACGAGUUGACGCCGGAUUUCACCACCACCGGAGAUGCGUUGUAGCCAACUUCGAAACUUCGAUUAGCAAACCAAUUUUUGGAAAAAAAAUUUGCACUAAGAAGAAAGAUUGAAUUUUUGCUCACAAGUUUUCCCUUCCUCUUUUCUAUCUUUCAGUUUUUUCACCCUCAGAAAUUUCUCAGAAAAUGUCUCUACCCACAGCUUUCCACAACCCCAAUUUUUGAACCCUCGAUUUUCAAAGCCAAAAUAAAUCCUAAAAUUAGUGAACCCACAGAGAAAAUUUUGUCCCCCCUUUCACUACCUAAUAUAGCCCUUUUAUAGAGAAAUCGGCUAGGGCUUCUUUUGGGGGUAUGUUAGGGAUUUUCGAUGGAGAUAUUUUGUUAUUCAAAAAUUAAAAUCCCCCAAGCUCCCUCUUUCAACCCCAGUUAGCACCAAAUCUUGGACUCUUUUAAAAAGAUUAAGAAUCGGGGACCAAUCGGUUUUGAGAAAAACAAAUUGUCCUCAAGAACCAAUGAGAUUCGUCCAAAAAUAUACGAAAUUGUACUAUUGUUACCGAGAUUUAUGGGAUUGAUCCGUUGGGGGGAGAUAGCUCAUCCGAUCUUAGAAACUUCGAGGGUUUUCUCGCAUAAAUUCACGCGUGACGGAGUGAGUUGAGUUCAAUUAUUGUCGGGUCGAGGUUGUUCUGACGGAUACGGGUUAAUGGGUCAAUUUGGAUGGAUUUUGGUCGUUGAGUUGAGAGGCUUAUCCUAUUUCU
rnacentral:lncRNA from 1 species